GGAGGGGAGGUGAGGAGCUGUGUACUCCUGUGUAAAAAAAAAAGCUGUGACAUCUUGUCCACAACAGACUCAGAACUGUGGACAACAGUAAAAGAAAAUCCUCUGAACUACAGAACUUCCUGCCCAACAAACAGAGAAUGAGAAUGCGCUGACAUAGUGAGGAGACGUCUGGGCGUCACAUUCUACAGACAGAAGUUUUAGCUGGACCAGGCGAGGAAAAUGAAAUGCCAAGUGAAAUACAGCGAGAUAAGG